UGAAUACUUUGCAGCAUAUAUUUUUGAGGGUUGAGGAACCAGUUUCAGGAGGCUCUUUAUGUGCAUUCCUCUUCAGCACACACACUGGGGCGCAGAUAGACAAGUGGAAGGUCAAAGAGGAAGGUUUUGAAGUGAGAAGAGACAUCACCUGGGUUUGAAGCAGGCAGAGGAAGCUCAACACAAAUCCAGAUGUGCACAAACAGGACGUCUUUCUCAAGUAUGCAUAACAUGCAUCCCCUUAUUUAAGGGUGGUUGACCACUCGUGCUUUCUGUCUGAGACUGUUAUUUUUUAUUAAUGUCCCUUCUGUAGGUUUUGCAGGGAGCAAGCCC
rnacentral:lncRNA from 1 species